rnacentral:rRNA from 1 species
CCUACGGGUGGCAGCAGUGGGGAAUAUUGCACAACGGGCGCAAGCCUGAUGCAGCCAUGCCGCGUGUGUGAAGAAGGCCUUCGGGUUGUAAAGCACUUUCAGCGGGGAGGAAGGCGGUGAGGUUAAUAACCUCAUCGAUUGACGUUACCCGCAGAAGAAGCACCGGCUAGCUCCGUGCCAGCAGCCGCGGUAAUACGGAGGGUGCAAGCGUUAAUCGGAAUUACUGGGCGUAAAGCGCACGCAGGCGGUCUGUCAAGUCGGAUGUGAAAUCCCCGGGCUCAACCUGGGAACUGCAUUCGAAACUGGCAGGCUAGAGUCUUGUAGAGGGGGGUAGAAUUCCAGGUGUAGCGGUGAAAUGCGUAGAGAUCUGGAGGAAUACCGGUGGCGAAGGCGGCCCCCUGGACAAAGACUGACGCUCAGGUGCGAAAGCGUGGGGAGCAAACAGGAUUAGAUACCCGUGUAGUC